GAGGACUCAAGGGAAGUUGUUGGCACGUGGGGAGAAGGAGUUUUGCUGUGUUGCUGUGAGGUUACUAUCAGGGGAAGCUGAAUCCCAGCUUUAGAGAGGUUUUUGAACCACUUGGGGCUAAUUUGGUGACCAGGGAGACUAGUUUGGAAGGUGUUCCAACUGAGGCGAGAGUGCGAUCGACUCUUGGAGUGACUUUAGCUGACUUGUGAAAACUCUUGAAGACUCAACUUGAGGUAUUAAG